CGCUGGCGGCACGCUUAACACAUGCAAGUCGAACGAGCGAAAGGUGCUUGCACCUCUAGCUAGUGGCGGACGGGUGAGUAACACGUGAGCAAUCUGCCUUUCGGUGGGGAUACCAAUUGGAAACGAUUGUAAUACCCCAUAACAUAACGAAGCCGCAUGACUUUGUUAUCAAAGAUUUAUUGCCGGAAGAUGAGCUCGCGUCUGAUUAGGUAGUUGGUGAGGUAACGGCUCACCAAGCCGACGAUCAGUAGCCGGACUGAGAGGUUGAACGGCCACAUUGGGACUGAGACACGGCCCAGACUCCUACGGGAGGCAGCAGUGGGGAAUAUUGCACAAUGGGCGAAAGCCUGAUGCAGCGAUGCCGCGUGAGGGAAGAAGGUUUUAGGAUUGUAAACCUCUGUCUUCGGGGACGAUAAUGACGGUACCCGAGGAGGAAGCUCCGGCUAACUACGUGCCAGCAGCGGC
rnacentral:rRNA from 1 species